rnacentral:rRNA from 1 species
CCUACGGGAGGCUGCAGUAAGGAAUCUUGGUCAAUGGACGAGAGUCUGAACCAGCCAAGUAGCGUGAAGGAUGACUGCCCUCUGGGUUGUAAACUUCUUUUAUAUGGGAAUAAAAUGUUCCACGUGUGGGCUUUUGUAUGUACCAUAUGAAUAUGGAUCGGCUAACUCAGUGCCAGCAGCCGCGUUAAUACGGCGGAUCCGAGCGUUAUCCGGAUUUAUUGGGUUUAAAGGGAGCGUAGGUGGAUUGAUAAGUCAGUUGUGAAAGUUUGCGGCUCAACCGUAAAAUUGCAUUUGAAACUGGCAGUCUUGAGUACAGUAGAGGUGGGCGGAAUUCGUGGUGUAGCGGUGAAAUGCUUAGAUAUCACGAAGAACUCCGAUUGCGAAGGCAGCUCACUGGACUGCAACUGACACUGAGGCUCGAAAGUGUGGGUAUCAAACAGGAUUAGAUACCCCUGUAGUC